UAGUCCACGCCGUAAACGAUGUCGACUAGCCGUUGGGGACCUUAGAGUCUUUAGUGGCGCAGCUAACGCACUAAGUCGACCGCCUGGGGAGUACGGCCGCAAGGUUAAAACUCAAAUGAAUUGACGGGGGCCCGCACAAGCGGUGGAGCAUGUGGUUUAAUUCGACGCAACGCGAAGAACCUUACCAGAGCUUGACAUGUCACAAAUUUUUGCGAGAGCAAAAAGUGCCUUCGGGAAUGUGAACACAGGUGGUGCAUGGCUGUCGUCAGCUCGUGUCGUGAGAUGCUGGGUUAGUCCCGCAACGAGCGCAACCCCUAUCUUUAGUUGCCAGCACAUAAUGGUGGGGACUCUAAAGAGACUGCCAGCGCAAGCUGUGAGGAAGGAGGGGACGACGUCAAGUCAUCAUGGCCCUCACGCCUAGGGCUACACACGUGCUACAAUGGUGCAUACAGAGAGUCGCGAUCCGGCAACGGUCAGCCAAUCUCAC
rnacentral:rRNA from 1 species